GGAAAAGUAGAACGAUAGAAAAAAAAAUAAAAGUACAAGAAUUACAUCAAAGGAAAAAUGCACCAAGAAGACCAAUUUAAGGAGGUACCCCCUCUCCUGUUUUUUAUCCACAUGAAAGAGUUCGCCUUGAUAUCUUCAAAAAUACGGGUCCGAGAUGGAGCAAUAUUGUUAAAGGAGUAGUCGUUUCUGGCUUUCCACAAAGACCAAAGAGCCGAAAGAAUGAUCGCGUGAGUCAUCUUUAGUUGAGAAGGCGAUUUGGCAAAGGAGUGGGAGACAGAGAGGAGAUGCUCAACAUAAUUAAUAUCAGAGAGAUCAAGCUCGCACCAGUCUUGAAACAUACUCUAGACAUCUCGAAUCCAACAACAUUCCCGUAGAAGAUGUAUAACAGAUUCAUCACCUGCACCACAUAGAUCGCAUGUACCAAAGCUUAAAACAACUCCUCUUUUUAUUAGCUCAGUUUUCACAGGUAACCUCACUAUUAAAAAAAAGCCAUUUAGAGGCAUACAAAAGUUUGACCUAAUCUUGAUGUAAGGUACAUCCAUGGUUUGUCCAUGACUAUUUACAAUAAUAUAUAUAUAUAUAAAAUCUUAAAAAAAUCCAGUUAAGUCACUAAUGGUAAUCUAUUUGGUUGACAACUAAAGACACAUUAACGUACAAAAAUGGACACAGUAACAUCUAACCACAUAAAUCAUAUAUACACAAUAACAUCUACCCUAUUUAAGAGUUUUAUAGUUCAUGUUCCCUGUGUAAAUCAAAUUUUUAAUCAGGCCUCACAAGAAGAAACAAAAUAUAACUACAUGAAAAUAAAUUCAAUUAGUAUAACACACACUUAUCAAAAUUUAAAUUAAAGCCUCACAAUGAGAAAUUUGUUAAUUAGGUCUCAGAAUGAGAACAAAAUGCCAGUACAAACCAUUACUAAAAAAACGCAGCAGAGAAAAUAAAAUGAGAAGAUAACUUCGAUGGAGAACAAAUCAACUUAAUCAUUAGUAGGUUUGGACUGGAGAUCAAUGGUGAGAACUGUAAUUCUUGAACGGUUAGUAUGAACUGAAGAUCAAUUGAAUGUUUGUAGGUAUCGGCGAAUCCGACUGAAGGUGAAACCCUAACCCGAAGUCCGAACAGUGAGGCCGGUUUGAUGAAACUUGUUGAAGGUGAGGGAAGCACGAAUAUAAUCAAUCAAACUAUGAUUUUAGAGUGGGAAUUUUCAAUGGAGGGAUGAGAAAUUUCUUUAGCGGUCGAUUUAACUUUAAUGGAGGGAAACAAAAUUUUUUAGGUGGAGGGAAGGAGGAAGUGAGCCCCAAAUUCUUCGAUGGAGGAUUUAUAU
rnacentral:lncRNA from 1 species